rfam:Pteropus alecto contig86066, whole genome shotgun sequence.
AUGAAAAGUUCAUGCUACUCUGAACAGGCCCGAUCUCAUCUGAUCUCAGAAGCUAAGCAGGGUCGGGCCCCAUUAGUACUUGGAAGGGAGAUCACCUAGGAAGACUGGAUGCUGUAGGUG